GGGGGGGGGGGGGGGGGUGCGUGGUACAUGCAAGGCGAGCGAACAGACGAGGAGCUUGCUCCUCUGACGUCAGCGGCGGACGGGGGAGUAACACGUGGAUAACCUACCUAUAAGACUGGGAUAACUUCGGGAAACCGGAGCUAAUACCGGAUAAUAUAUUGAACCGCAUGGUUCAAUAGUGAAAGACGGUUUUGCUGUCACUUAUAGAUGGCUCCGCGCCGCAUUAGCUAGUUGGUAAGGUAACGGCUUACCAAGGCAACGAUGCGUAGCCGACCUGAGAGGGUGAUCGGCCACACUGGAACUGAGACACGGUCCAGACUCCUACGGGAGGCAGCAGUAGGGAAUCUUCCGCAAUGGGCGAAAGCCUGACGGAGCAACGCCGCGUGAGUGAUGAAGGUCUUCGGAUCGUAAAACUCUGUUAUUAGGGAAGAACAAAUGUGUAAGUAACUAUGCACGUCUUGACGGUACCUAAUCAGAAAGCCACGGCUAACUACGUG
rnacentral:rRNA from 1 species